GAUGAACGCUAGCUACAGGCUUAACACAUGCAAGUCGAGGGGAAACGACAUCGAAAGCUUGCUUUUGAUGGGCGUCGACCGGCGCACGGGUGAGUAACGCGUAUCCAACCUGCCCAUCACUUGGGAAUAACCUUGCGAAAGUAAGACUAAUACCCAAUGACAUCCCACGAAGACAUCUGAAUGGGAUUAAAGAUUUAUCGGUGAUGGAUGGGGAUGCGUCUGAUUAGCUUGUUGGCGGGGUAACGGCCCGCCAAGGCAACGAUCAGUAGGGGUUCUGAGAGCAAGGUCCCCCACAUUGGAACUGAGACACGGUCCAAACUCCUACGGGAGGCAGCAGUGAGGAAUAUUGGUCAAUGGGCGAGAGCCUGAACCAGCCAAGUAGCGUGCAGGAUGACGGCCCUAUGGGUUGUAAACUGCUUUUAUAAGGGAAUAAAGUGGGUCUCGUGAGACUUUUUGCAUGUACCUUAUGAAUAAGGACCGGCUAAUUCCGUG
rnacentral:rRNA from 1 species